rnacentral:rRNA from 1 species
GAACGGAGGUUUUCAGCAAUGGAGAUCUUAGUGGCGAACGGGUGAGUAACGCGUAAACAACCUGCCUCAUAGAUGGGGACAACACCGCGAAAGUGGUGCUAAUACCGAAUGUUUUAACUAAGCCGCAUGGCAGAGUUAAUAAAGGUGGCCUCUAAAUUAUGCUACCGUUAUGAGAGGGGUUUGCGUCUGAUUAGCUAGUUGGCGGGGUAAUGGCCCACCAAGGCGACGAUC